rnacentral:lncRNA from 1 species
CUUAUGUAAAUAUAUUUAUCCAGAAAGUAGAGAACUUAUUUGGUGUAAGUUUUAAAAUGAGAGAUCUAAAAAAAUCAUGUCUCCAAAGUCUCUCAAAUUGGAACCUAUAAUUUUUAAACAUUUGCAUAACAUAUAAAAGCCUGUAUAAUAAUUAAUAGCCAGUUCUAUUUUUGAGCAAAAUAUUCAACUGUCAUCAUCAGUUCACAUGAAUUUAUAACUC